rnacentral:rRNA from 1 species
UGUGAACUGCAGGACACAUGAACAUCGACAUUUUGAACGCACAUUGCGGUCCACGGAUCCAAUUCCCGGACCACACCUAGCUGAGGGUCGU